CAAGUAAUUAAGUGCAUGUGGUGGAUGCCUUGGCAGUCAGAGGCGAUGAAAGACGUGAUAGCCUGCGAAAAGCUCCGGGGAGGCGGCAAAUAUCCUUUGAUCCGGAGAUGUCUGAAUGGGGGAACCCACCUACUUUAAGGUAGGUAUUGCAACAUGAAUACAUAGUGUUGCAAGGCGAACGAGGGGAAGUGAAACAUCUCAGUACCCUUAGGAAAAGAAAUCAAUUGAGAUUCCCUCAGUAGCGGCGAGCGAACGGGGAUCAGCCCAUUAAGUUAUGUGUGUUUUAGUGGAACGCUCUGGGAAGUGCGAACGUAGAGGGUGAUAUUCCCGUACACGAAAGGGCACACAUAAUGAUGACGAGUAGGGCGAGGCACGUGAAACCUUGUCUGAAUAUGGGGGGACCAUCCUCCAAGGCUAAAUACUCCUGACUGACCGAUAGUGAACCAGUACCGUGAGGGAAAGGCGAAAAGAACCCCUGUGAGGGGAGUGAAAUAGAUCCUGAAACCGCAUGCAUACAAGCAGUGGGAGCACCUUCGUGGUGUGACUGCGUACCUUUUGUAUAAUGGGUCAGCGACUUAUAUUCAGUAGCGAGGUUAACCGUAUAGGGGAGCCGUAGAGAAAUCGAGUCUUAAUAGGGCGUUUAGUUGCUGGGUAUAGACCCGAAACCAGGCGAUCUAUCCAUGAGCAGGUUGAAGGUUGGGUAACACUAACUGGAGGACCGAACCCACUGUCGUUGAAAAGCCAGGGGAUGACUUGUGGAUAGGGGUGAAAGGCUAAUCAAGCCUGGUGAUAGCUGGUUCUCCCCGAAAGCUAUUUAGGUAGCGCCUCGGACGAAUACCAUAGGGGGUAGAGCACUGUUUCGGCUAGGGGGUCAUCCCGACUUACCAAACCGAUGCAAACUCCGAAUACCUAUGAGUACUAUCCGGGAGACAGACUGCGGGUGCUAACGUCCGUAGUCAAGAGGAAAACAAUCCAGACCGCCAGCUAAGGCCCCAAAAUCAUAGUUAAGUGGGAAACGAUGUGGGAAGGCAUAGACAGCUAGGAGGUUGGCUUAGAAGCAGCCACCCUUUAAAGAAAGCGUAAUAGCUCACUAGUCGAGUCGGCCUGCGCGGAAGAUGUAACGGGGCUAAAACUAUGUGCCGAAGCUGCGGAUGUAUACUUUGUAUACGUGGUAGGGGAGCGUUCUGUAAGCCGAUGAAGGUGUGUUGAGAAGCAUGCUGGAGGUAUCAGAAGUGCGAAUGCUGACGUGAGUAACGACAAAACGGGUGAAAAACCCGUUCGCCGAAAGACCAAGGGUUCCAGUCCAACGUUAAUCGGGGCUGGGUGAGUCGACCCCUAAGGCGAGGCCGAAAGGCGUAGUCGAUGGGAAAAUGGUUAAUAUUCCAUUACUUCUGUGUAAUGCGAUGAGAGGACGGAGAAGGCUAAAUCAGCCUGGCGUUGGUUGUCCAGGUGAAAGGAUGUAGGCAUGUAUCUUAGGCAAAUCCGGGGUGCUCUAUGCUGAGAUCUGAUAGCAAGCUGUACUUGUACAGCGAAGUGGUUGAUGCCAUGCUUCCAGGAAAAGUCUCUAAGCUUCAGUUACACAGGAAUCGUACCCGAAACCGACACAGGUGGUCAGGUCGAGUAGACCAAGGCGCUUGAGAGAACUCUGCUGAAGGAACUAGGCAAAAUGGUACCGUAACUUCGGGAGAAGGUACGCUGUUGUUGGUGAUGGAACUCGCUUCCUGAGCUGACGACAGCCGCAGAAACCAGGCCGCUGCAACUGUUUAUUAAAAACAUAGCACUCUGCAAACACGAAAGUGGACGUAUAGGGUGUGAUGCCUGCCCGGUGCUGGAAGGUUAAUUGAUGGGGUUAGCGUAAGCGAAGCUCUUGAUCGAAGCCCCAGUAAACGGCGGCCGUAACUAUAACGGUCCUAAGGUAGCGAAAUUCCUUGUCGGGUAAGUUCCGACCUGCACGAAUGGCAUAAUGAUGGCGGCGCUGUCUCCAGCAGAGGCUCAGUGAAAUCGAAAUCGCUGUGAAGAUGCAGUGUACCCGCGGCUAGACGGAAAGACCCCGUGAACCUUUACUGCAGCUUGACACUGAACUUUGACCUUACUUGUGUAGGAUAGGUGGGAGGCUUUGAAGCUGGAACGCUAGUUCCAGUGGAGCCGUCCUUGAAAUACCACCCUGGUAAUGUUGAGGUUCUAACUCUGUCCCGUGAUCCGGGACGAGGACCGUGUCUGGUGGGUAGUUUGACUGGGGCGGUCUCCUCCUAAAGAGUAACGGAGGAGUACGAAGGUGCGCUCAGCGUGGUCGGAAAUCACGCGUAGAGUAUAAAGGCAAAAGCGCGCUUAACUGCGAGACCCACAAGUCGAGCAGGUACGAAAGUAGGUCUUAGUGAUCCGGUGGUUCUGUAUGGAAGGGCCAUCGCUCAACGGAUAAAAGGUACUCUGGGGAUAACAGGCUGAUACCGCCCAAGAGUUCAUAUCGACGGCGGUGUUUGGCACCUCGAUGUCGGCUCAUCUCAUCCUGGGGCUGAAGCAGGUCCCAAGGGUAUGGCUGUUCGCCAUUUAAAGAGGUACGCGAGCUGGGUUUAGAACGUCGUGAGACAGUUCGGUCCCUAUCUACCGUGGGCGCUGGAAAUUUGAGAGGAUCUGCUCCUAGUACGAGAGGACCAGAGUGGACGAACCUCUGGUGUACCGGUUGUGACGCCAGUCGCAUCGCCGGGUAGCUAUGUUCGGAAGGGAUAACCGCUGAAAGCAUCUAAGCGGGAAGCCUACCUCAAGAUAAGAUUUCCCUAGGACUUUAUGUCCUCUAAAGAGCCGUUCGAGACUAGGACGUUGAUAGGUUGGAUGUGGAAGCAUAGUGAUAUGUGAAGCUGACCAAUACUAAUUGCUCGUGAGGCUUGACUA
rnacentral:rRNA from 1 species